AGGGCAUGACGGGUGACAGGCAUGUGGUGGGACGGAGGUGCGGGUCGAAGGGAGGAAAGGGGGAGGGGAAGGGUCUGGCUUGGUCGGUGCGAGGGUGGAGGUCAAUUGGGGCUGGUCUAGAACGGGAGAAGAAUGGGUGAAAGGAAAAGAAAUGGAAGGGAAGGGCGAGGGAUUUAGGGGCGUAGUGUGGUUCAAAAGCGAUGGUGGCCAGAGAGAUGGGGAGAUUUGGUUAGUGGCGGCUAGGGUUAAGGGGUUUGGGGAAGAUGACAAAAUAAAGAAAACGAAAAGGGAAUUGGGGUUUUUAAUGGUGACACGGUAGUGUGACGCCCGUGUAACUCUCUGAUUUGAUUUUUAAAUGAAAAAAAUAGCUCCAGGUUUCAUACGGCCAAGGACAUGCCUGUUUGUCCAAGCUGUGUGAGUUACACAGUAGUGUUGCCAGGCUG
rnacentral:lncRNA from 1 species